UCCGCACGAGCGCACCCUUGCCUUUAGUUGCCAUCAUUUAGUUGGGCACUCUAGAGGGACUGCCGGCGUUAAGCCGGAGGAAGGCGGGGAUGACGUCAAGUCCUCAUGGCCCUCAUGCCCAGGGCUACACACGUGCUACAAUGGCCGGUACAAAGGGUUGCGAACCCGCGAGGGGAAGCUAAUCUCAUAAAGCCGGCCUCAGUUCGGAUUGGAGUCUGCAACUCGACUCCAUGAAGUUGGAAUCGCUAGUAAUCGCGGAUCAGCACGCCGCGGUGAAUACGUUCCCGGGCCUUGUACACACCGCCCGUCACACCAUGGAAGUCUGCUGUACCGGAAGUCGGUGCUUCAACCCUUCGGGGGGAUAGCCGCCUAUGGUAUGGUCGAUGACUGGGGUGAAGUCGUAACAAGGUAGCCGUAGGGGAACCUGCGGCUGGAUCACCUCCUUU
rnacentral:rRNA from 1 species